CACUUUUUUCUGAUGUUCACAAUGCAAUACACAUUGUUUUUAAAUCAGUAUUACCACAUGAUGAAAUUACACAUGAUACAUCACAAAACUCAACUUCAAUCAAGUGGAACGACAAUAACAGAAACGAAUUUGUAAAUACAUUUCACAAUAGUCAAGAUCAGCUGACCAAUAUAAUGAAUGACCUUGAAAACAUACACACACGUGAUACAUGCACUCAACAAGACAUAGACAACAUCACCGGAGAAAUAAAUGAGCUUUUCCAAAAUACUGCAAAGGCGACACUUUCAAAACCGCACUACAAAUCACGAAAGAAACCGAACUCAAAACCCUGGUACACAAAUAAAUGUCUCACUUCGAGAAAAAAAUUUCAUAAAGCCAGAAAACGUUAUAACAUUCAUAAAAAUGAAGUAACACGCAAACAACUACUAGAGACAAGUAAAUCAUACAAGAUGGUUACAAACCAAGCAUACAAAAACUAUCAAUUUGACUUUGAACAAAAAUUGAGAAAUACGUCAAAAAAACAAGGGAA
rnacentral:lncRNA from 1 species